AGCGAACGCUGGCGGCGUGCCUAACACAUGCAAGUCGAACGUGAAAGUAGCAAUACUAGUAAAGUGGCGUACGGGUGAGUAACACGUAGGUAAUCUACCCUAGAGUCUGGAAUAACCUGCCGAAAGGCGGGCUAAUACUGGAUAGAGCGACGGAAUCCGUAAUUGGGUUUUUCGGGAAAGGGAGCUCGCAAGAGCCCUCGCUUUAGGAUGAGCCUGCGUCCCAUUAGCUAGUUGGUAGGGUAAUGGCCUACCAAGGCUGUGAUGGGUAGCUGGUCUGAGAGGAUGAUCAGCCACACUGGAACUGAAACACGGUCCAGACUCCUACGGGAGGCAGCAGUGGGGAAUCUUGCGCAAUGGACGAAAGUCUGACGCAGCCACGCCGCGUGAGUGAAGAAGGCCUUCGGGUUGUAAAGCUCUGUCGCCCGGGACGAAAAUGCUUACGGUGAAUAGCCGUAGGUACUGACGGUACCGGGAGAGGAAGCACCGGCUAACUCUGUGCCAGCAGCCGCGGUAAAAC
rnacentral:rRNA from 1 species